UGGCGUCAGCAAGCCUAGACUGAUGAGCUGGUCCUGAGAGGAAGGACUGCUUCAGCUGGUAAAGCGAAGAGUGUGGAACAUAAUAAGGUCAUAAGAGGGUAGUCACGGCAUCAUGGAACUGCCUGGAAGAUUCUAAAAAGUUCUAGAAUGGAGAUAUUUCAAACAGGUGCCAUGGAAAUGGGGAAGGCCAGAAGAGAGAAGGAAGGAUACUACAACUCAGGGUGGAAGUGCAAGAAUUGUGGAACUCCUCACAGAUUAUCAGGUUAAGACUACUGCUGCCCUGAAGAGAUGGCUCAGUGGUUAAGAGCACUGGGUGUGCUUUCUGAGAACCCAGGCAGAAGGCGCGUCAAGGCAUCCUCUGCACAUCAAGGGGACUUCAAGGUGACCUGCCUGUCCUUUGCCCGGUAAAUUGCAUAAACUUCCUUGGAGUCUGAAGAUUAGGAUGGCAAGUUUCAGAAGGAACAGACCUCCCACAGCAUUCCUGAACAAUUUGCAUGGAUCUGCACAGAGGAAUCUGGAAUCUCCCAAGCCCUCCCAGAAGUCCUGCUCUGCUUUCUGUCCAUGUCAACUGCGUCUUUCUCAUGGGCCCUUUCCACCAGUCUUCUGGAAUGUUCAUAGAAAAACCCGCGGCAUUGCCAAUGGAUCCUCUUGAAAACCUCCUUGAGUUGCCAUGUGAGCCUCGUUGAGUUCUCCCAGAAAUAUAGACUUCACACAUGGAACAUCUCCUUGACUUCCAGAGAAUUCCACACUAAUGCUGACAGCAUGCUAAGAAAAUUCCCAUGAAAUGCUAAGAGAAUUUGCAUUAAAUUGUCUGAGAAACCGCAAGAGAGAUUUGAAGGAAACCCUUAGCGUUCCCUGGGAACACAAAUAACAGGGUUCCCCCACUAGUCAGAAGAGGAGAGCCUGUCCUUGGGCGUCAUGUUGCCUUAGUGACUAGUGCUAGUCAGUGACCUAGCAAGCCACUCCCUCUGACUGCUUUCUUGGCUCCUAUGGAGGAGAGAUGAGGGCUUUCUUGUGUGUUUUCUAGUUUCCUGACAUGGUGUUACGCUGGCCAAAGCAGAGUUACUCAGGGCCCAGCAGCCUUUAUGUCAUCAAUCCAGCCUCACCCCGUUGAGGCCUGAGGCUCACCGUGGGCUCUCUCCAGUCAUUCGUUAAACCUGACUCGGUGAGGACCUGCAAUGCUGGCACAUCACAGGUUUCGAUGGAGCAAUAUUCUCUCAGCUUGGGAUACAGAGACAGAAGCACCUGGGUUUCCCUGGAGUCCACCCUGGCCCCUACUGCCAGGGGACAACAAUCUGGCUUUUGCAGGCCAGACUCCACAGAAACUGAAUGACAAGAGCUCAGCAUGGGGGACAGGACUGCCACACAAAGGAGCUGCCCAAGGAGGCAGCUAGACAGCCCCAUCCAAGCUCUCCGCACACAGACACCUGCAAAUGCCUAGCCUGCUCCAGCCAGUUUGGCCCUUGGCCCAGCUCUGGAGCCCGAAAUAGAGACCCGUUGAGCUGAUGUGUAGGCCUCAUCCAGCACUCAGAACCUUCCUCAUCCUGUCUUUACCCAGCCACCCAACACAUGCCUUUGGGGCCCAGAGACUUGUUCCCUGCUCUGAUCUGGCUUGACUCCAGCCUGUCUCUGAGGAUUCCCCUCCUGACAGCUGCUCCUGGGUUCACCAAGGCUAAGCUCGGUGUCCUGGCCUUGUUCCCAAUCCUAACUCAUUAGGCGUGGGAUGAAUUAUUUCAGGUCUGGCUUCCAUACAGAGCACAAACUUUGUCUUUCUGCGGGGGACUCUAGGGUGCCAAGACAGUGUCUGGCACCCGUGAGGGUUGGAUGGAUACUUUCUGACUGACAGAACAGUGGCCACUCCCACAGAGCCAUCGUGUUAUAACAAUAGUGAAUGCUCCCCGGCUCUUUCUGAUAUACCUUAGCCUUCCCACGGGUGGAAUACAUCCGUGAAGCACGAACCCCGUGGAUCAGCAUCACCACAUGUGGACGUAGCAUCAUGCGCUCAUUCUCCACCAGGCCCUGCAGGAACUUUCCCUUAUCUGCCACUCAAGGUCAAAGCCGUCAGAUACUGCCACCCACCCUGGUGGGCCAGACAGCACGAACGCCAACAAUGGUCACGAAUAUUCGGCUACUUCUUUCAUUUGGUGUUUUCAUUGUUUAUAUCUCACGGUUUUAUCAGUUGGUGUCGCAAUACCAGAAUGCUUGAGACUGGGAGACUUAGGAACAUCAGAAGGGGAUUUGGAGACUCACAGACGCAAGAGCCUGGUGCCAGCAUCUUCGCGGCAUGUGGUCCCAGACUGCAUAGAAAGGAGAAAUCCAUGGAGCAGCGGAGUUCAUCUCUCUCGGCUUCCUGACUGGAGACACAGCGUGGCCAGCUGCCUCAGGCUCUAAUUUACACUUAUCGUGUGGG